CACCACCAGAAUGUGCCUUUUCCUUAUCAAAAAGAAUUGCUGCCCCUUACAGGACAGGAGGACUCCAAUUGUGACCAAGUUGGAGCAGCCUUGAGCCACAACUCAGACUUAUUUUCAUUCUCUGCUCAUUGGCCAUUAGGAACCCGAUCCUUAUGACCUGCAGUGACCUGCUGCUACCAGAACUGACUCGCUUCAAAGUGACGGAUGAAACCCAUAUGGAGAUAUUCCUGGGGUGGGUAGGCCAGUUGGAAGACAGAGUGUUUACACCUGAGAGAGGACUUGAGUGACACAUGCUGUUUUAUUCUUGAUCCUAGCAUAUCUGAACCUUUUGCACCAUUCAGUAAAGAGAAAAGGGGAGCUCAGAAUUUUACUCAGUCACGUUGCUCACUGCUGCGCACUCCUGCAGACGCAUCCCAGUGGACUCUGCGCUGCAUCCCCAGAGUACAGCGAGUUUCCCGCCUCCCGUUAGAGAUCCAACACAUAUUUUUUUUGAAAGAAGAAACUGAUGGAAGACAGGAAGCAAAAAGGAGAGGAAGGAAAGGGAUAGGAAGGAGGGGAAGGAAAGGGAAAGGAAGGAAAAGAAAGGAAAGUGAACUUGAAAUCCUACAAGGUCUCAAAGUCAAAAAACAUGUAAGUCAAUUAUCACAGAAAAUAAAAGAACUGCUACAAGGGCAAGUUACUGGGCCAAAUCUGUCAC
ensembl:lncRNA LINC01020 long intergenic non-protein coding RNA 1020